rnacentral:misc_RNA from 1 species
GAAAUGCGAUAAGUAAUGUGAAUUGCAGAAUUCAGUGAAUCAUCGAAUCUUUGAACGCACCUUGCGCUCCUUGGUAUUCCUUGGAGCAUGCCUGUUUGAGUAUCAUGAAAUCUUCAAAGUAAAUCUUUUGUUAACUCAAUUGGUUUCUACUUUGGUAUUGGAGGUCUUUGCAGCUUCACACCUGCUCCUCUUUGUUCAUUAGCUGGAUCUCAGUGUUAUGCUUGGUUCCACUCGGCGUGAUAAGUUAUCUAUCGCUGAGGACACUGUAAAAGGUGGCCAAGGUAAAUGCAGAUGAACCGCUUCUAAUAGUCCAUUGACUUGGACAAUACUUUUAUGAUCUGAUCUCAAAUCAGGUAGGACUACCAGCUGAACUUAAG